rnacentral:rRNA from 1 species
CCAACGGGAGGCUGCAGUGGGGAAUAUUGGGCAAUGGGGGCAACCCUGACCCAGCGACGCCGCGUGAGGGAAGAAGGCCUUCGGGUUGUAAACCUCUUUUGUAUGGGAAGAAGGAUGUGACGGUACCGUACGAAUAAGUCCCGGCUAACUACGUGCCAGCAGCCGCGGUAAUACGUAGGGGACGAGCGUUGUCCGGAAUUACUGGGCGUCAAGGGCGCGCAGGGUGUGCUGCAAGUCAGCUGGGAAAUAUCUGGGUUUAACCCGGUUAUGCGGUUGAGACUGCAGUGCUGGAGUGCUGUAGAGGCAAGCGGAAUGCCCAGUGUAGCGGUGAAAUGCGUAGAUAUUGGGAAGAACACCGGUGGCGAAGGCGGCUUGCUGGGCAGCAACUGACGCUGAGGCGCGAAAGCCAGGGGAGCAAACG